rnacentral:rRNA from 1 species
CUUGGUCAUUUAGAGGAAGUAAAAGUCGUAACAAGGUCUCCGUAGGUGAACCUGCGGAGGGAUCAUUCACGAUCGGCCCCUGGCCGUCGAACUCCAAACCCGUGGAAGCAGAUGUGAUUCGGCGCCCUGGGCGUCGCCUUCAUGCCGUCGGCAGUAUGUGUCUGAAAUCAAACUUAAUCAAAAACUUUCAACAACGGAUCUCUUGGCUCUCGCAUCGAUGAAGAACGCAGCGAAGCGCGAAAUGUAGUGUGAAUCGCAGAACAUUGUGAAUCAUCGAAUCUUUGAACGCACAUUGCGCCUCCCGUAACAAGGGGGCAUGCCUGUCUGAGCGUCAUCGAAAUCUAUGAACCCCCGUGGUUUCGUGUUGGGCGUCGCCCGUAGGGCGUAGCCUCAAAGGGAUCGGUCUCGUGAGUGGGUGUGAUCCGUUAGGACUGGCCGCUCUGGACCCUAAGCCUCUGGAUUGACCUCAGAUCAGGUAGGGAUACCGCCUGAACUUAAGCAUAUCAAUAAGGCGAGGAACAGAAACCAACUGGGAUUCCCUCAGUAGUGGCGAACGAAGCGGGAAGAGCUCAAGUUUGAAAUCUGAGGGGCAGCCUUCAGAGUUGUAAGCUGAAGAGGCGUCGACCGACUUGGCCCGAGCCCAAUUCUCUUGGAACAGAGAGUCGUGGAGGGUGAGAACCCCGUCCGUGGCUCGGGAGCCUAGUCCUAGCGUCGUGCCCUCGAAGAGUCGGGUUGUUUGGGAAUGCAGCUCAAAAUGGGUGGUAAAUUUCAUCUAAGGCUAAAUAUUGGCGAGAGACCGAUAGCGAACAAGUAGAGUGAUCGAAAGAUGAAAAGCACUUUGAAAAGAGAGUGAAACAGUACGUGAAAUUGUUGAAAGGGAAGCGUUUGGCAUCAGCCCGUGGCGUCCGUCGAUCAUCUGUGCCUCUGCACGGUGCACUCGGCGGUCGUCGGGCCAACGUCGUCUCCGUCCGCUGGAGAAAGGCCUCGGGAAUGUGGCUCUCUGGAGCGUUAUAGCCCUCGGCGCAAUGCGGCGGAUGGGGUCGAGGUCUGCGGUUCAACCGAGGACGUUGGCUUAAUGGUUCCAAGCGACCCGUCUUGAAACACGGACC